AUCCAGACUCCUACGGGAGGCAGCAGUGAGGAAUAUUGGUCAAUGGGCGGGAGCCUGAACCAGCCAAGCCGCGUGAAGGAAGAAGGCGCCAGGCGUCGUAAACUUCUUUUGUCGGGGAACAAAGGGCGCCACGCGUGGCGUUGUGAGUGUACCCGAAGAAAAAGCAUCGGCUAACUCCGUGCCAGCAGCCGCGGUAAUACGGAGGAUGCGAGCGUUAUCCGGAUUUAUUGGGUUUAAAGGGUGCGCAGGCGGAAUGUCAAGUCAGCGUUAAAAUUUCGGGGCUCAACCCCGUCGUGCCGUUGAAACUGGCGUUCUUGAGUGAGCGAGAAGUAUGCGGAAUGCGUGGUGUAGCGGUGAAAUGCAUAGAUAUCACGCAGAACUCCGAUUGCGAAGGCAGCAUGCCGGCUCCACACUGACGCUGAGGCACGAAAGCGUGGGUAUCGAACAGGAUUAGAUACCCCAGUA
rnacentral:rRNA from 1 species